GCUGUGAUGGCUGAGCGGUUAAGGCGGUGGAGUUGAAAUCCAAUAGGGUUUACCUGUGCAGGUUUGAAUCCUGCUCACAGUG
rnacentral:tRNA from 1 species